UUGUACAGCUUUGAAGAGAUGUAGGACUUGGCAAUCACGGCUUCUAGUUUGUCAGGCUCGCGAAUGUAGCCCUCGUAGCAAUCGUUCAUGAUGUAACGGAGAGUCUAUUGUCGACAAAUUCAUUAGUUUGAUUCUAAUUUAAGUUCUGAAGAUUUGAUGUUAACAUUAGUAUCGGAGGUGUGUGAAGAGCGUUGUGUCGAAGUACACAAGGGUUUGAGAUCUAAUGCGCCAAGCAGAUGUGGAGCUGAGAUAACAUUUUCUUAACGAAUUCUCGAAACUUUCAUUCCUGUGCUUUCUUGGCUGGAUGUCGAAGACAUUCGAAUUGAGUAAAGGCUUUCUAACAUAGAACCGAAGCUCCCGGUUGGAAGUGCAGGAGUUCGUGUUUUCAUCGUCAACGCCAUUGUCGAAUUCUUGGCAGAGAAAGGAGAAGGAUUGAAUCGCAUCUAGGAAGCACUGUGAAGGGAUCAUGACUUUUUUUUGGAUUAGAUGUUAACUUUCAAAGAAAAUGCUGAAUCAUGGGACAGACCGGUGCUGUUGAGCUCUCUUAGACGUGAGCGAGCAUGGGACCGCCGAUCAUGGAGCGGCAGACACCGAUGUUGCCUCAGAAUACGGCAGCAGAGAACAAUGACGUGAGAUACAUGCAUCCAGCUGCUGCUUUCUUUCACUGUGCAGGCAAGGUGGCUGCAAUUUUAUCGUACCUCCUGUGCGGGCUCUUUUCGGAAAGCUACGUGAUUAAUUUUGUUGUCACAACCUUACUGAUUGGAAUCGAUUUCUGGAUCGUGAAGAACGUAACCGGGAGACUAUUGGUGGGGUUACGAUGGUGGAAUGACGUUGAUGAACGAGGGGAAAGUACUUGGAAAUUUGAGUCGCUUAAUCAACAGGCGUUGGACCGCAUCAACAGAAACGAUUCGUGGAUCUUUUGGUGGUCACUUUACAUAAACCAGAAUGCGGCAUGGGUAGCACUAGCAAUCAUUGCUAUUGUAAAGCUCAAUUUCGACUACCUGAUUAUCACUAUCAUCGCAAUAAGUCUUACAAGUGCGAACACAGCUGGAUAUUCUAAGUGCAGAAAAGAUGCUGAGAGGCGAGCGAAUGCUGGAGGUCAAGGUUUUGCUUCAAGUUUAUUCCAAGCAGCACGAGGAGUGAGAAACAUGGUGUGACUAAAUAAGGAAUCGGAACCGCCACAAAGGAUUUACUCGCCCACAGAUCGAAAUAUCAAUUUUUACAGACUGAAAAAGGGAUAUUUUAGGGAGGUAAUACAAGCUCCUGAACGCAUAUUCGAGCAUAUUUUCUCGCCGUUUUCAAGCCACAUCCAUGCUCUUCGAUUCACAUGGUAUGAACAACACAACGAAGAAGAAGGAAACAGCAGAGCAUUACCUCAAAAGAAACCUGAGACUUUAGCCACAAAGGAAGAUGGUCGUAUUGCACACUACUUAUUUCGUUUAGAGAUGGAACUUUCUUGGUGUCUAAACUUUGAAAAUUUUCAUCUGAAAUCGAAAAAAUGAAAGUAAGAAAUCAGAGAUUCAAAUAAAUUGGAAAGAAAUCAGGAUUGCACAUGCGUGGAAGGAAGGUACUUUACAGAAUUUUCAAGAUGUAAAUAUACUCAAUCAAAGACAAUUUAGAGUUGUCCAAGAUUGAAGCGACGGACAAAGCAGUUUCAAUUGAGGCAUAAGAUUAAGGCGGUCGCAAAAGUUUUCAAAGUGGUACUAUUAUUGGUUUUUUAUCAUCGCCUAUGUCAUUAAGAUAUUUGGCUUAGAAGGUUAAAACAAUGUAUCCAAAUAAGAGGUUGCAGUUGAACCUCUAAUGGGAGUAGAAGUGGUUGGUGUUGCGUUCGUAGCUCCAUCACCAUGCUCGCUUUUCGGUUUA